AGCAGUGGGGAAUUUUGGACAAUGGGCGAAAGCCUGAUCCAGCCAUGCCGCGUGAGUGAAGAAGGCCUUCGGGUUGUAAAGCUCUUUUAGUUGGAAAGAAAGAAUUAUAGUUAAUAGCUAUAAUUUAUGACGGUACCAACAGAAAAAGCACCGGCUAACUACGUGCCAGCAGCCGCGGUAAUACGUAGGGUGCGAGCGUUAAUCGGAAUUACUGGGCGUAAAGGGUGCGCAGGCGGCCAUGCAAGUCAGAUGUGAAAGCCCCGGGCUUAACCUGGGAAUUGCGUUUGAAACUGCAAGGCUAGAGUGCAACAGAGGGGAGUGGAAUUCCAUGUGUAGCAGUGAAAUGCGUAGAGAUGUGGAAGAACACCGAUGGCGAAGGCAGCUCCCUGGGUUGACACUGACGCUCAUGCACGAAAGCGUGGGGAGCAAACAGGAUUAGAUACCCUGGUAGUCCACGCCCUAAACUAUGUCAACUAGUUGUCGGAUCUAAUUAAGGAUUUGGUAACGUAGCUAACGCGUGAAGUGACC
rnacentral:rRNA from 1 species